rnacentral:rRNA from 1 species
UUAUAUACAUAUAUCAAUUUUUUUAAACUAGUACUAGGAUUUCAUUAGAACUUCACAGUUUAGCAUGCUUGAGCAAGAGUAGUAUUAGGAUGGAUGACCUCCUAAGAAGUUCUCGUGUUGCACCGA